GAUGAACGCUGGCGGCGUGCCUAAUACAUGCAAGUCGAGCGAACAGAUAAGGAGCUUGCUCCUUUGACGUUAGCGGCGGACGGGUGAGUAACACGUGGGUAACCUACCUAUCAGACUGGGAUAACUUCGGGAAACCGGAUCUUACACCGGAUAAGAUUCCGAAGCGCAUGGUUCGAUAGUGAAAGAUGGUUUUGCUAUCACUUAUAGAUGGACCCGCGCCGUAUUAGCUGGUUGGUAAGGUAACGGCUUACCAAGGCGACGAUACGUAGCCGACGUGAGAGGGUGGUCGGCGACACUGGAGCUGAGACGCGGUCCAGACUCCUACGGGAGGCACCAGUAGGGAAUCGUCGGCAAUGGUCGGGAGCCUGGCGGAGCAGCGCCGCGUGAGUGAUAACGGUCUUCGGAGCGGGAAGCUCUGUUAUGAGGUGAGAACAUACUUGUAAGUAACUGUGCACGUCUUGACGGUACCUAAUCAGAAAGCCACGGCUAACUACGUG
rnacentral:rRNA from 1 species